ACUGGGAAAAAGGGAGAAGUCGUCCUUAAGUUACUGGAGCCUCCGUGUUUAUUAUUUUAUAGUUUCACCAAGGCAGAUAUAAACCCUUGGCUAAACGGUAAUGCAAAAAUUUAGAUGCCAACCGCCCUUAAACACAGAAGAAGAAGACAAAGAAGAAGAAGAAGAACUGCCCAAUGACAACUCUGCGCGCCUUAAUUUGAAAAUACGUCAGUUUGAAUGACUGCUGCGGGACAUCGGCGCGACUGACUGCCCAUCGAAUAACGUUACCUAGAUUAAUAACUGGCUUAUUUUACACCUGCUUGCUUAUUUAGUGAGUCGUGGCUUGUCAUUGUUAACGGAGAACAAAAAAAAAACUGGAAUAUGGAGACAACGGAAGGGUCCGGCGGGAUCUGUUUCGUCUUCUAACUACAUGAACUUCAUCUUAUUACUAUUAUUCGGGCGACAUCAGUAAAGGACCCCUUGCAGUGCAUCACCUGUGAGAUCACAAGAAGGCUGAAGAACCAGGAGUGACAAGAUAUCACUGAAUGAAAUUUUGGGAAUGAAAAAGCUCCUGCCACAAGAUCUUCAGAGCCAGACAAGCAUUGGAGCAGGGUUUACGGGGGAGAACAGGCACC